rnacentral:rRNA from 1 species
GACAGAGGCCUCGAGCGUUAGGCGGAAUCACUGGGCUUAAAGCGUGUGUAGGCGGGUCGUUAAGUGUCUUGUGAAAUCCCACGGCUCAACCGUGGAACGGCUGGGCAUACUGGCGACCUUGAGCAGCCUAGGGGCGAGCGGAACAAACGGUGGAGCGGUGAAAUGCGUAGAUAUCGUUUGGAACGCCGACGGUGAAAACAGCUCGCUGGGGGCUCGCUGACGCUGAGACACGAAAGCCAGGGGAGCAAACGGGAUUAGAAACCCCCGUAGUCC